AGCAGCCGCGGUAAUUCCAGCUCCAAUAGCGUAUAUUAAAGUUGUUGCAGUUAAAAAGCUCGUAGUUGAAUUUCGGGAUCAGUACGCUGGUCGUGCCUUCGGUAUGUACUGGUGUUACUGGUUCCUACCUUCUGACGAACCGUCAUGUCAUUAAUUUGGUGUGGCGGGGAAUCAGGACUGUUACUUUGAAGAAAUUAGAGUGUUUAAAGCAGGCUCGCGCUUGAAUACAUUAGCAUGGAAUAAUGAAAUAGGACGUUCGAUCCUAUUUUGUUGGUUUCUAGGAUUGACGUAAUGAUUAAUAGGGAUAGUUGGGGGCAUUAGUAUUCAAUUGUCAGAGGUGAAAUUCUUGGAUUUAU
rnacentral:rRNA from 1 species